rnacentral:pre_miRNA from 1 species
GACCUGUAUCUUAAACCUGUGUUCAGUACCAGGGACAGGUAUGUUUACCUGUGUGUGGAUGGCAUUCAGCAGCAAGGACAGAUGUGUUUACCU